UACGAAGGGGGCUAGCGUUGUUCGGAAUUACUGGGCGUAAAGCGUGCGCAGGCGGCUUCUCAAGUCAGGGGUGAAAGCCCAGAGCUCAACUCUGGAAUUGCCUUUGAGACUGAGUGGCUUGAGUACGAGAGAGGUGAGUGGAAUUCCCAGUGUAGAGGUGAAAUUCGUAGAUAUUGGGAAGAACACCGGUGGCGAAGGCGGAUCUCUGGGCCAUUACUGACGCUGAGGAGCGAAAGCGUGGGGAGCGAACAGG
rnacentral:rRNA from 1 species